ACCGGCCGGUUCGACCCCGGCGGCUGGUUCCGUCCCGGCGGCCGGUUCGACCCCGGCGGCUGGUUCCAUCCCGGCGGCCGGUUC
rnacentral:tRNA from 1 species